rnacentral:rRNA from 1 species
GAUGAACGCUGGCGGCGUGCCUAAUACAUGCAAGUCGAGCGAACAGACGAGGAGCUUGCUCCUCUGACGUUAGCGGCGGACGGGUGAGUAACACGUGGAUAACCUACCUAUAAGACUGGGAUAACUUCGGGAAACCGGAGCUAAUACCGGAUAAUAUAUUGAACCGCAUGGUUCAAUAGUGAAAGACGGUUUUGCUGUCACUUAUAGAUGGAUCCGCGCCGCAUUAGCUAGUUGGUAAGGUAACGGCUUACCAAGGCAACGAUGCGUAGCCGACCUGAGAGGGUGAUCGGCCACACUGGAACUGAGACACGGUCCAGACUCCUACGGGAGGCAGCAGUAGGGAAUCUUCCGCAAUGGGCGAAAGCCUGACGGAGCAACGCCGCGUGAGUGAUGAAGGUCUCGGAUCGUAAAACUCUGUUAUUAGGGAAGAACAAAUGUGUAAGUAACUAUGCACGUCUUGACGGUACCUAAUCAGAAAGCCACGGCUAACUACGUG